rnacentral:rRNA from 1 species
AGUGAACGCUGGCGGUAGGCCUAACACAUGCAAGUCGAACGGCAGCACAGUAAGAGCUUGCUCUUACGGGUGGCGAGUGGCGGACGGGUGAGGAAUACAUCGGAAUCUACUUUUUCGUGGGGGAUAACGUAGGGAAACUUACGCUAAUACCGCAUACGAACUACGGGUGAAAGCAGGGGAUCUUCGGACCUUGCGCGAUUGAAUGAGCCGAUGUCGGAUUAGCUAGUUGGCGGGGUAAAGGCCCACCACGGCGACGAUCCGUAGCUGGUCUGAGAGGAUGAUCAGCCACACUGGAACUGAGACACGGUCCAGACUCCUACGGGAGGCAGCAGUGGGGAAUAUUGGACAAUGGGCGCAAGCCUGAUCCAGCCAUACCGCGUGGGUGAAGAAGGCCUUCGGGUUGUAAAGCCCUUUUGUUGGGAAAGAAAAGCAGCAGGUUAAUACCCCGCUGUUCUGACGGUACCCAAAGAAUAAGCACCGGCUAACUUCGUG